rnacentral:lncRNA from 1 species
CAAUUCUUCUUUCAGGCAAGACACCUUUAGAUCUAUUGUUAAUUGAGAAAAUGGAAUUAUGGUAUAUUUCAUAGUUAAACUGGAUAGGAUUACCUGUCAUGGGAAAACAUAUCUGGUUGACACUCUGGCUGAUUUCCGGUCACUCCCUCAUCCAACACGACAACAUAACAAUUAUAUAAGCUCUUACACAAAUAAUAGCAGCUUACAUAUUUACACAGAUAGUUCCAAAUCUAACGACGGAGUAGGCUUAGCCUUUUGCAUUCUCACAAGGGAACAUUGCACCCGAUGUGUCUGGGAUUUUGC